CUUGUGGACUGUUAUAAUAAAUGGAAGUAGAUUUUAUAUUUCAUGAUAUAAAAUCAAAACCAGACAGGUUGAAGCAAGAA
rnacentral:sRNA from 12 species